AGCUAUAUUUGUCUGCCGUCGUGUCGUCACUUCAUUCAUUCUUCAUUGCAAGUUACCAGGAGGACUGACUGCUUCAGUGAACAACGAAUAUGUAUGCAUACCCCGUUUUGCGCAAAACUCCUCAGGGUCAACUCCUCAUGGGGCCGACUGAGGAGGCAAACAGGAGUGAGGUUGCGGGGGCAGGGAGAGCCAGAGCCAGGUGUAAGGAGGAGGUUCUGUCCGAGGCCACUGCCUUUGUGAGACAGAAUGGAGGGGAUCCUGGUGACCAGUUCCUGGUUCUGGCUCACUGCAGGAUCCAGUUUGGUAAACACCAGGGCCAGAGGUUCCGGUGGCUGCAGGAGAACUCACUGGGGUAUGCAGUGUAUCUGGCGUGCAGCAGUAUGGGGGAAGAGGAGAGGGACAACCCGCUGUCAGCCAGUAAGCAUCUGUUCCUCAGCUACACCUCUCGGAUCAGGGAGGUGGGGGAGGCUGUGGAGGUGUACCAGAAAAAACAGGCAAUGCGGCAGGAGGCCCAGAGGACGGGGGACACGGGACGUCUGAUGUUCGAGUUUGGUGUCUUCAAGGGCAGGUCCAUGAAGGAGGUGUAUGAAGACCCAAGCAAGGAGGGUCAGUCUUUCAUUUCCUACCUGAAGAAAGCAAAGGCCAGGCCCAACACCAACAUGGCCUUCUUCCAGGCAUACGUGCUGAAGAGAGAGGCUCCAGCUCAUGUCCCCACCACUGCUGCCUCUGCUCCGCCUGCUGCAACUCAAAGCAGGCAACACGUAGCUGCCUCUGUGAAGGGCCUGUUGGCUCGUGGGACACAUCUGUCUGCUUCACAGCUGGCAAAGAAGCUAAUGAGUCCAGCCAAACCCUCUGCAGAGCCACGUUGCCCCUCUCCGUCUCAGCGCGCAGCCCGAAGACGGCUCUUUACCUGUGAUAGUGCUGCUGGGGAUUUUUUUGACCAGGUAGAUGACCAGGAGAUGGUGGUAGCGGCCUCACAAGCAGAGGAACAACUUUCUCAAAAUAACUGGCACUUGGCAUGCGCCAGUCCCCAGUCAAAGAAAAAAUGAUAUUUAAAGGUGUAUGCACUGCUGCGCCAGUUCCAGCCCCAGCCCCUGCUCCUCCAGUGGUGUGGACUCCUGUGUCCCAGCCACCUGCAGAGCUGCAGAGACACUGGAAGGAGCAGCUUCCUUCAUUCCAGCAGGACUGGAUUAGGAAGGCUCUGUUCAGGGCCAACACAAAUACAGGGAAGCUGGAGUUGAUGCCCAAUCCUGUAUUCUGGUGGUAUCCCCCUCAGCCGCCGAAUGUCUUCACCCAGCCUCCUGCCUCUCCUGACGUCUUCUUCUGUCGCCCUCUGUUUCUCUGGAUGCCGCUGAAGAUGUGGUCCAUUCCACUCGUCUGUGUCCAGCCAGCCUGCAAUAACCACAGGCUGACAGCCGCUGGCCUUUAUCGCACUGUGAGCAAGGUCCUGGACAUAGAUGGGUGGUAUGACAUGGCCACGGAGUAUCUGGAGUGCAAAGGAUGCAAGAAGAAGUAACCGGCCUGGUCUGACGACAUCCUGGCACAGCUCGACAUGGGGCACCGUAGAAAAUUCCCCGCCAUUCUGACAUACAGGUACUCGUGUGAUCACAGUGUGGUCAUAAUGAUGCGGGAGCGGACCCAGGGCAACAGUGUCACGCAGCUUUACAGAAAGCUGCAAGAAGAGCACAGUGCAGCGUGGACACGGUGCACGCUGGAGUACCUCACUGCCUGCGAGCCCUUCGCCGACUCCUCCAUGACUGAGCCUCCAGUUUUCUCUGCACCCCCGCCACUCCCAGCCCUUCCAAAACCCAAGUGGCUGUUGUCUGUGUACGCCAGGGACGUCCUCUCACGGCUACCUGAGGUCAAAGCCAAGAUAACCUCAGUCUUUGGCUCUUUCCUCAAGAUGGACUCCACUAAAAAGGUUACCAAAAAACUGGCUGGAGCAGCUGCUAACUGCUGGCUGGUGCACCAACGUGGGCAAUGAACACGGCCAGAUUCUGGUGUCAGUGCUUACGGCCGCAGAAGGGCACGGACUGCGGCCCAUGGCAGCGGGUCUGGUGAGGAGGUACAGGGAAGCGGGAGUGGCACCACCCGCUAAGGUUAGGGAAGAAAUAAGCCAAUCACCGCAGAGCUUGUAGAAAGUGAGGUCACGAAAAGUAAACCAAUCAGCACAGAACUCGUGCGGAGGCGCAAAUCGCGGCCUGAGCUGGUGGAUAUAUUUCUCUGCCGUCGUGUCAUCGCUUCAUUCUUCAUUGCAAGUUAUCAGGACGACUGACUGCUUUAGUGAACAAAGAAUAUGUAUGCAUACAACUCCUCAUGGGCCCGACUGAGGAGGCAAACAGGAGUGAGGUUGCGGGGGAAGGGAGAGCCAGAGCCAGGUGUAAGGCCCUCUUCCAGGCAUACGUGCUGAAGAGACAGGCUCCAGCUCAUGUCCCCACCACUGCUGCCUCUGCUCCACCUGCUGCCACUCAGAGCAGGCAACCGCUGGCUGCCUCUGUGAAGGCCCUGUUGGCUCGUGGGACACAUCUGUCUGCUUCACAGCUGGCAAAGAAGCUAAUGAGUCCAGCCAAACCCUCUGCAGAGCCACGUUGCCCAUCUCCGUCUCAGCGCGCAGCCCGAAGACGGCUCUUUACCUGUGAUAGUGCUGCUGGGGAUUUUUUUGACGAGGUAGAUGACCAGGAGAUGGUGAUAGCGGCCUCACAAGCAGAGGAACAACUUUCUCAAAACUGAAGCCCAUUUUUGUCAUCGAGCAUGUUCCCCGCUGCCCCCGGAAUAAUUUGGAGGCACUGUUGCGCCAGUUCGAGCCCCUGCUCCUCCAGUGGUGCGGACUCCUGUGUCCCAGCCACCUGCAGAGCUGCCAAGACACUGGAAGGAGCAGCUUCCUUCAUUCCAGCAGGACUGGAUUAGGAAGGCUCUGUUCAGGGCCAACACAAAUACAGGAAAGCUGGAGCUGAUGCCAAAUCCCGUAUUCUGGUGGUAUCCCCCCCAGCCGCCAAAUGUCUUCACCAAGCCUCCUGCCUCUCCUGACGUGUUUUUCUGUCGCCCUCUGUUUCUCUGGAUGCCGCUGAAGAUGUGGUCCAUUCCACUCGUCUGUGUCCAGCCAGCCUGCAAUAACCACAGGCUGACAGCAGCUGGCCUUUAUCGCGCUGUGCGCAAGGUCCUGGACUUAGAUGGGUGGUAUGACAUGGCCACGGAGUAUCUGUAGUGCAAAGGAUGCAAGAAGAAAUACCUGGCCUGGUCUGACGACAUCCUGGCACACCUCGACAUGGGGCACCGCAGAAAAUUCCCCGCCAUUCUGACAUACAGGUACUGGUGUGAUCACCGUGUGGUCAUAAUGAUGCGGGAGCGGACCCAGGGCAACAGUGUCACGCAGCUUUACAGAAAGCUGCAAGAAGAGCACAGUGUAGCGUGGACACAGUGCACGCUGGAGUAACUCACUGCCUGCGAGCCCUUCACCGACUCCUCCAUGACUGAGCCUCCAGUUUUCUCUGCACUCUGCCACUCCCACAUCUUCCAAAAUUCAAGUGGCUUUUGUCUGUGUAUGCCAGGGACGUCCUCUCACGGCUACCUGAGGUCAAAGCCAAGGUAACCUCCGUCU